GAUGAACGCUGGCGGCGUGCCUAAUACAUGCAAGUCGAGCGAACAGACGAGGAGCUUGCUCCUCUGACGUUAGCGGCGGACGGGUGAGUAACACGUGGAUAACCUACCUAUAAGACUGGGAUAACUUCGGGAAACCGGAGCUAAUACCGGAUAAUAUAUUGAACCGCAUGGUUCAAUAGUGAAAGACGGUUUUGCUGUCACUUAUAGAUGGAUCCGCGCCGCAUUAGCUAGUUGGUAAGGUAACGGCUUACCAAGGCAACGAUGCGUAGCCGACCUGAGAGGGUGAUCGGCCACACUGGAACUGAGACACGGUCCAGACUCCUACGGGAGGCAGCAGUAGGGAAUCUUCCGCAAUGGGCGAAAGCCUGACGGAGCAACGCCGCGUGAGUGAUGAAGGUCUUCGGAUCGUAAAGCUCUGUUAUUAGGGAAGAACAGAUGUGGAAGUAACUAUGCACGUCUUGACGGUACCUAAUCAGAAAGCCACGGCUAACUACGUG
rnacentral:rRNA from 1 species